UACAGAGGGGGCUAGCGUUGUUCGGAAUUACUGGGCGUAAAGGGCGCGUAGGCGGCCCGCUAAGUCGAACGUGAAAUCCCCGGGCUCAACCCGGGAACUGCGUCCGAUACUGGCAGGCUUGAAUCCGGGAGAGGGAUGUGGAAUUCCAGGUGUAGCGGUGAAAUGCGUAGAUAUUCGCAAGAACACCAGUGGCGAAGGCGGCUCACUGGCCCGAUACUGACGCUGAGGUGCGAAAGCGUGGGGAGCGAACAGG
rnacentral:rRNA from 1 species